UGCAAGUCGAACGCGAAAGGGACUUCGGUCCUGAGUAGAGUGGCGAACGGGUGAGUAACGCGUGGGUGACCUACCCUCGAGUGGGGGAUAACGUUCCGAAAGGGACGCUAAUACCGCAUGACAUUCCUGGUUUGAAGACUGGGAAAUCAAAGCCGGGGACCGCAAGGCCUGGCGCUUGAGGAGGGGCCCGCGUCUGAUUAGCUAGUUGGCGGGGUAAUGGCCCACCAAGGCGACGAUCAGUAGCCGGCCUGAGAGGGCGGACGGCCACACUGGGACUGAGGCACGGCCCAGACUCCUACGGGAGGCAGCAGUGGGGAAUUGUUCGCAAUGGGCGCAAGCCUGACGACGCAACGCCGCGUGGAGGAUGAAGGUCUUCGGAUUGUAAACUCCUGUUGAUCGGGACGAAAAGCUCCAACCCAACACGUUGGAGACUGACGGUACCGGUUGAGGAAGCCACGGCUAACUCUGUGCCAGCAGCCGCGGUAAUACAGAGGUGGCAAGCGUUGUUCGGAAUUACUGGGCGUAAAGGGCGCGUAGGCGGCCUUCUAAGUCGGACGUGAAAGCCCCAGGCUUAACCUGGGAACUGCGUCUGAUACUGGGAGGCUUGGAUUCGGGAGAGGGAUGUGGAAUUCCAGGUGUAGCGGUGAAAUGCGUAGAUAUCUGGAGGAACACCGGUGGCGAA
rnacentral:rRNA from 1 species